rnacentral:rRNA from 1 species
GACGUAGGGCGCGAGCGUUGUCCGGAUUUAUUGGGCGUAAAGAGCUCGUAGGCGGCUUGGCAAGUCGGAUGUGAAAACUCCAGGCUCAACCUGGAGCCGCCAUUCGAUACUGCUAUGGCUAGAGUCCGGUAGGGGAGUGUGGAAUUCCCGGUGUAGCGGUGAAAUGCGCAGAUAUCGGGAGGAACACCGAUGGCGAAGGCAGCACUCUGGGCCGGUACUGACGCUGAGGAGCGAAAGCGUGGGGAGCGAACAGG